AAAUUUGGCAAUAAACAAAAACAAGAAUUUCGAUUUGCGAAUAAAAUUUUGUUAAAUUAAGUGAUUUUUAACGUUAAAAAAAUAUGAAUUAGUGAUAAUUUGGUUCAUCAGCAAACUUCCGUUCCUUCGUGGAGAACGAAAGGAGUUCAUGGCUAAUUAAAUCAAAUAACCACAGUGCGUUUGUUUUUUCAACUUUUUUUUUGUUGCAUUAUAUGGAGAUGUAAAAAGUAUUACUAAUCAAUGGCGAAAGGCAGACAUUUUUUUACUGAGAUAAAAAAAAAAUCAAAUUUCAGGGAUGGUUUAUGUUGCAAAAACGGGUAAAAAAUUAGACAAGUAUGAUUCACGAUAACUCCUUUUGAGAGAUUCCAUAUUUUGGAAAUUCUAAAUUUUGUAUAAAAGCUAUGACAAAUGUGAAUAAGGUAUCAGUCUCGAAUUGUUCUGAAGACAUAGCAGUGCAGUAAAUUUUUAAUUCAAUGAUCAACAUAAAAGUUUAAGCUUUUAAGAAGAACACUUCAACUUCCAAAUAUGAGUGUUCGGAUAAAAAUAUUGUAAAGAAAAUUAUUUCCUAAAAAUUUGCGAUUUCUUCCCAUUCAUCAACAAUAGUUAGACUAACG